GACGGAAGGUGCAAGCGUUGCUCGGAAUCACUGGGCGUAAAGGGUGCGUAGGCGGCUUGGUGGGUCUGGUGUGAAAGCCCCGGGCUCAGCCCGGGAAGGGCGCUAGAAACUGCCGAGCUCGAGUGCCGGAGGGGAGAGUGGAAUUCCUGGUGUAGCGGUGAAAUGCGCAGAUAUCGGGAAGAACACCCGUGGCUAAGGCGGCUCUCUAGUACGGUACUGACGCUGAGACGCGAAAGCGUGGGGAGCGAACAGG
rnacentral:rRNA from 1 species